rnacentral:rRNA from 1 species
UUCUGCCCUAUGAUUAUUUAAAUGGCUGCAGUAUCCUGACUGUGCAAAGGUAGCAUAAUAAUUAGUCUUUUAAUUGGAGGCUUGUAUGAAUGAUUACAUGAGAGAUUAUUUUUAUUAAUUUUAUGGUUAUAAUUUAAUUUUUAAGUAAGAAAGCUUAAUUUUGUUUUAGGGACGAUAAGACCCUAUAGAACUUUAUUUUUAUUUUAAUUUUAAUUUUUAUAGAUUUUUAAUUAUUUAUGAUUUAUCUAAAUUUUUUGUUGGGAGGACAAAUAAAUCCUAUUACUUUAUUUUUUGUAUUCAUUUAUUGAGUGUUCAUUUUGAUCCAUUUUAUAAUGAUUUUAAGAUUAAGUUACCUUAGGGAUAACAGCGUAAUUUUAAUGGGGAGUUCAUAUUUAUAUUAGAGUUUGCGACCUCGAUGUUGAAUUAAGAUAAGAUUAUGGGGCAG